UGUAAAAAUACGAGAUUGAUCCCCCACAACUCCUGAAAUGUAAAAAUAGAAAGAAACACGGGGAAAUUUAGUUCAUUCGUUCCUUCCUCGUAGGCCCAAAAUUCCGAACCAUGUCUCUUCUCUGGGCCUGCAACUCCGUCACCGGCAGUCCUCCAUCACUACCACUCAAUCCAUAACUCGGACUUACUUUAGAUUAAUUGAGUGAAAGAAAGAUUACCCACAAAACCUAGGAUGAGCAACGUGCCUAAAAAAGCAAUUGAGGUCGAGUACCGGAUUGGCAUUACCAAUUUGUCUCCUGAUGUUGCACUUGCUCUCACCCCAGAUAUCGAGUACCGGAUUCGCGAGAUCAUGCAGAUUUAGACAUUUUUGUCAUAAUCUUCAGCCACGUUUGACAAGGACUUUGCUUCACGCUUUCUUGGACCCAACCAAAGCAUUACCCCAACAUUAUGGCGCAAUUCAAGGGCUAGCAGCUCUUGGUCCCAAUGUGGUUUGCUUACUUAUACUACCAAAUCUCGAUUCGUAUAUGCAACUUCUUGAGCCAGAAAUGAUACUUGAGAAGCAAAAGAAUGAGAUAAAGAGGCAUGAAGCUUGGCGUGUCUAUGGGGCCUUUGCUGUGUGCGGCUGGCCAAUGCAUGCAUGACCGGCUCAAAAUGUUCCACAGUUUGCUGUCUCCUCCAGCUCAUCCUGUUUGGAAGUGCAAUGGAAGGAUUGCAACAACAAUGACAACGGGAGCACACCCAAAGAUAUUUGGAACUUAACUCAGAUAAAGACGAUUUACCUUGGCUCCAACUAUUUGACAGGUACACCAUACCGAAUGAGAUUGGUCAUCUUCCAUGUUUAGAGGAAUUUGUCCUGGGUGGUAAUAAUCUCAGUGGCCUCAUCCCAACCUCAAUCUUCCAUAUGUCCGCAAUAUCAAUAAUAUCACUUGACAGCAACCAGUUCUCAGGUAACUUCCCAGCAAAUAUAGGCCUUGAUCUUCCAAACCUACAAGCGCUCCUCGUAGGAGCAAAUAAACUCAUUGGAAGAGUCCCCGAAUACAUCUCUAAUGCUUCUAAAAUCACAAACUUAGACCUGGUCAGCAACUCAUUUUCUGGUUUUAUUCCUAGCUCGCUUUGUGCCUUAACAAACCUUGAGCGACUUAACUUAGGCCACAAUAAUUUAGCUAUUGAUACUUCGGCUCCAGAAAGAAUUUUCUCUCUUGUUUGGCUAAUUUUAGAAAAUUGAGGAUACUAGCCUUACCCGAGCAAUCCAUUAAAGGCUCCACUUCCCAUUUCCUUUAGGAAUCUCUCUACAUCACUUGAGACCAUUAAGCUAAGCAAUUGCAGCUUGAGAGGUUACAUUGCAAAUGAUAUUGGCAAUUUGAGCAGCUCGACACUCAUAGCUUUGAAUUACAAUCUAUUGAGUGGAACCAUUCCAACCUCAGUAGGAAGAUUACAUAAUCUCCAAGGUCUGUAUGUACAUAAAAACAAAUUGCAAGGAUACAUCCCAGACGAACUUUGUCAGCUAAAAAACCUGGUUUCAUUGAUCUUGGGUUUUAAUCAACUCUCUGGUUCAAUACCUUCAUGCUUGGGUAAUCUAGGUCAAGCACUAAGAAGUCUCUAUUUAGGCCCCAAUUUGUUAACUUCUAUAAUACCAUCUACCUUGUGGAGAUUGACAGAUAUCAUGCAAUUAGACUUGUCAUCCAAUUCUCUAAUUGGACCACUCUCAGAAGGUAUUGGUAAUAUGAAAGUUGCCACAUAUAUAUAUAUAUAUAUAUCAAACAACCAUUUAUCUGGUAGUAUUCCAAGCAGCACUGGGGGGCUAAAGAGUUUGAUCAAUUUCUACUUGGCAAAUAAUAGUCUUGAACGCCCAAUUCCAAGUUCACUUGGCAACUCGCUAAGCCUGGAGUCCAUAGAUAUAUCUGAAAACCAAUUGUCUUGAGUUAUUCCAAAGUCUCUUGAAGCACUCUCAUCUCUCCAAUAUCUAAAUUUUUCUUUUAACAGACUCUAGGGAGAAAUUCCAACAGGCGGGCCUUUCAAAAACUUCUCUGGUGAAUCAUUUCUUUCUAACCAUUUGUGGUGCAUCCCUAUUUCAAGUUUCAGCAUGUAGAAGGAAAACUGGUAUAUCUAUCUUCAAGUAUGUUAUUCCGGGGAUCUUGUCAUCACUGCUUCUAGUGACCUCCAUAUUGAUCUUAUAGAGAAAGAAAAAGGUGAAAGCUGCAACAGAGACUACCUUCUUGCCUCAACUUCUAUGGAGAAGAGUUUAUACCAAGUCCUUCUAAGGGCGACAAAUGGAUUCACCGAAAACAGCUUACUUGGAGACGGGGUUUUGGCUCAGUAUACAAAUGUCAGACGGUAUGGAGGUUGCCAUAAAGGUUUUCAAUUUACAGUUAGAAGGGGCAUUCGCAAGUUUUGAUACUGAAUGUGAAAUACUAAGCAAUAUUCGUCACCGGAAUCUUAUCAAAGUCAUCAGCUGUUGCAGCCAGAUUGAUUUCAAAGCUCUCGUAUUGAACUACAUGCCUAACGGUAGUCUUGACAAAUGGUCGUAUUUUCAGAACUUUUCCUUGAACAUCCUUCAGAGGUUGAAUAUAUUGAUUGAUGUUGCGUUGGCAUUGGAGUACCUUCAUCAUGGUUAUGAAACACCUAUUGUCCAUUGUGAUUUGAAGCCCAGCAAUAUAUUACUAGAUGAUGAUAUGGGUGCACAUGUUGCUGAUUUUGGCAUCGCAAAACGCUUGGGUGGAGGAGAUUCUAUGACUCGAACCAUGACCCUUGCCACAAUCGGUUAUAUGGCUCCAGAGUAUGGAAUGGAAGGAAUGGUAACCAGAAGAGGGGAUGUGUAUAGUUUUGGUAUUGUAGUGAUGUAGACAUUCACAAGAAGGAAGCCAAUUGAUGAGAUCUUCGCUGGGGAAAUGAGUUUAAAGCUAUGGGUUGCAAAUUCAUUAGAUGCAGGGGCGGUAGUUAAAGUUGUGGAUGCUACUUUACUUGGAAUAGAGGAGGAUCAUGAUUUUGUGAGCAAGAGGGAAUGUUUAUCAUCUGUUAUGAGACUAGCUGUUGCUUGUUCAGCAGACUCACCAGAAGAGAGAGUAAAUAUGCAAGUGGCUCUCGCCACGCUUAAGAAAAUCAAGAUCAAGUUUUUGAAGGACGUUAGAGGAGGUGUCGAGUCUUCAAGGAUCCGAAUCCUCUAAAAUCGUAGGGUUGUAAAGUUAUUUAAAAUUCAUAAAAUCAUGAUGCUCGAAGUGAUCUAAAGGUCUAGAUUGUCUCCAUAUCAGCUUUACCUAAGUUUACAGUUUUUAACUGAUUAGCAGGAUGGAUGCAAAGUUGUCGUGCUAAUGAGAUGGAUGCAAAGUUGUAGUGCUAAUGAUACUUGUUGAAUGAAUACCAAAUACCCUAUUGAUAUUUAUGAAAAUGGAACAAAUACUUUAUCCGUUAUAUAGAUUUCUCAAAAACAUAGGCAUAAAACUAAAUCCCCCAGAAAAUCUCCUCAAAACAAUUUAGAUAGUUUCCCGCACGAACCCUAAAAACAAAGAUGAAAAGCAUACCGUGAGUCUCCAGAAAGAUCGGAUCGAGAUUCGCUGGCUGUGUUGGGUUGUCACGACGGUCGGAUAAUCGUUCCACAAAAGGUUAGACAUAAUCACUUCGCCACGUCAGGUUGGUGCUUGGCCGAAUGAAAAAUUUUGAAGAAUAGUCUGCAACCUAUACUUUUCU